UGGUCUUUAAAACAUGGCAGCCAAUAGUAUGGAAUUUUAUUUUAUUUUUUUUGCGUUUUAAUAAUUUGCAGAAUGUAACAAUCUAGUUUAGAACUGAAUUUAGCUAUGAAAACUUAGGGAAGCUGGGAACACGAGGCCCCCAGGAUUCGGGGUGUCUUUCAGCCACUGCUUAUCCUUCCAGUCUGAGUUAAAACUUUCUUUGCCAUUUAAAAAUGUGUUUUGUAACCAGCUGCAGACCAGACCAGAUCUAACACUAGCCAAAUUUAGUUUCCAAGACAAAUACUUUGCAUCAUAAAGAGGUGACAGAUGUGGCUAGUCCACUCACAGUGUCAUUAAAGUAGACCUAUCAGGGGAAAUGCUCUUUGUAAAAUAGUUUAAAUGAAUUUGCUCUACACAAGCUACAGUGAGUUUAUCAGCAAUUGGCACUUGACAUCCUGGCAAUGUUUCUGUGUGGAGGUGGCUGUCUAAGAAUCAGUCAACACCAAGUGACCGAUAUUGAUAAAUAACUUCCAAUCACACCAAAGAAGUUGAGCUAUUUUCCUCCAGGCAUGCUCCUCUGCUAAAAAGUACAAAAUUGUAGUUUGACCUGCGUAAUGACCGACGGUUUUGUGCCAUAAGACCUACAAAGAUAUAAAUUCUUUAUAAAAUAAAUAAUAAUUUAAUUCUAUGAUGUUGAAUAGACUGUUUGUUUCUGAUGACAGUCACUUUAAUAGUAACCGUUGAGGGACGCCUGGUUUCAAAUCUGGUCUUCUCUCCAUUGGUUUCCCAAUCACAGCCUAUAAACAGAGUCGAUGAUAUGUAUAUUGUGAUUCCAUUAAUUGGACGAAGAAAACAGAUCUGUGUGCUGCUACGACCGCUACUAUGUGUAUUGGCUGACAUAACUGCGACAAGACAGUAAGUGUUCAAACACUGUGCGGAAAUAUUGCAACCUCAUAGAUUGUUAGUGCAAACAAGUCAUCUCAGCUUGACCUUGCCUGGUGUGUGUGUGUGUGUAUCAGAAGUAUUGUUAGAAUUCUGGACUUGUUGAUCGAAAAUAAUUCUAUAAAUCACAGUGGCGAUCGUUGGGUCUUGGGUCAGAUACAAGCACAGGGACCUGCCCUUCCGAAUUGUAAUCUAUAGUGCCCUGGUUUGCUUUCUGGGACCCUGAGAGGUAAUACACAAAAAGAAUGUUAAAAAUGAUCAGUUAAAGUAAGAUUCUACUGCUUGAUUGCUUGUACUAUUUCAGAAACCAAUAACAGUCGUAGGAGCUGCUAAAAACAAAUCGUCAAGUACAAAGGAUCAUUUUGGUAAAGAGUCCUGGGAAGUUGGGGGGUGCAACUGAAAGUUCUGCUUUUUGUAUUGUGUUCAUUCCUAUUGGUAAGAAUGUAUGUAACAAGGGAUGUAUCCUCUACUAGACCCCACAGAUAAUAGGAAGAGGAUAUUCACCAAACACUAGAUUGUAGCUCAUUGAAAGCUAAAUUGUAACGGUGAAAAGUUCUGUAUCUCCACUACAGGCACUGUAGAUUUUGCAAUUUGGUUUUCGAAUCACUACAAUGUGUUGUUAAGUCAAUAAACAGCUCUUUUUCACUGAACUCCAAAUUGUUGAUUUAAAAAUCGAAAUGACAAAAUUUAGGCUAAAGUAGGCAUAAAUUGGAGAAUUUGUCCACGUCGCCCGUUUUAGCCUCCGUUUGAUAAUUCAGGUUUCAGUUUGCUACAAUGCUGUGUAACGUUUUCACCGGUCACAGUGACUGACUGAUAUGGGUUCAGGAGAUGGACACAAGUAUGUCAGCUCUGAGGAUGACUUGCUCCUAGUGGCUGGUUUGUGGCUAAUCACUGUGAAAAAUAUUGUGAAAUUGUUUUUGUAGUGCAAUAUAAAUGUAUAGAUUGUAAAAGUAAAUAAAUAUGCUAACAAGUAAAGGGAAACUAUGAGCACCGUAACCACUAUGGCCUGCUGUAGUGGUAAUGGUGUCAGCAUUCCCCUAAAGCUGCACCCAGAUAUUUUCGAAUGGUUUGGCAUAAAGUUAGGGUCCCCUGGGCACCUGUGUAUUUGCUUUUUUUGUUGUCCAUAUUGCUAUUACAGCAGCUACGCGCCCAUGUUAGCUAGACAAGCUUUGUCCAAGUUUGGAGAGCAUCCAAUGGCUGAGCAUGUCAGACGACGAACUCGACAAAUGUGUCAAAAUAUGGACAGAAAUAUGGACAGAAUUCAUAUUGCGAACAUGGACGUACACGUAAACCAGGAGACCCAUUUUUUUCAGAGUUCAAAAAUGGUUUGAGAUGAACAGGGGAUGAAACCUGGGGCAUGCUUGUAGCAUAACCACUAAAGCAAGCUAGAGUGUUUACAAUUCUUAGUAUCCCUUUAAGCUAAAUCUCAUUCUAUGUUCGUGUUGGGAACCAACGCACACUCUUACUGUGUUAGUGCUUUCAAGUGUGCAAAUGGACCCCGGUCCUGUCCAUCAACCAACAAGUUUGGCAAUAAAAAUACAGAGACUGAGAUGAUCAACAUACACGGUGACCUCGAACACGGUGACAUCAUACACAGUGAUCUCGAACACAGUGACGUCAUACAUAGUGCUGUGGUUAUGUGAUGUGGUGAGGUCACAAUAGAGUGCCGUCCCAUCUCUUUAUUAUAAUUUAUUAUUAUACCUUAUUUACUGGCUUUUUUCUGCCGAUGGUUUAGAAGGGUAUUACCAGGGUUUUAUUUUGUGAACUGCAUUGGAAACCAUACUGCGAGUUUACAGUUAAUGUAUUCUAUUCUGGAAUAACUCUCCAGUACAGUUUUACAUGCCUGUCCAUGUAUUGUUUAUUGAUUAGCGCUAUCCUAUUGUUGUACAGUUUUCCAUUUGGCCUAUUUUGACCUAAACUUUUAUUUAUGGGAUUUAUUCAAUAACCACUAAAGUGAUUGGGAAUAAGUAAUUUUGCUUUGGAUAAUAUUCUCCAUUUCAUCGAUAUAGUCACAUUGUUGCUAUUUUAACCUAGAUGUUACAAAUAAGUUUUCACUACAAUAGUGUUUUUAAUGGCUUAGCCUCAAUAUCAUUAAUGGAAGGGGCUUUUUACACAUAAUUCUUUAGAGCAGGG